AGGGCUGGGAAUCGGGUCGGGUUCGGGUACCCUACCCGAAUAAAUCGGGUACCCGAACCCGAAAACUGACCGAAACACCUACCCGAUCCCGAACCCGAUUCUGAAAUCGGGUACCCUAAUACCCGACUCGGGUACCCGAAUCGGGUAUUCGGGUACCCGAAAUUACCCGACCAAAAUGAAUUGAAAUUAAGCUGCGAGAAUUGGAGAGCAGAAAUAGAGAUUCAAAAGCAAUAAUUAAUCACACAGAUCCAUUAAUCCCCACUAAAUAAAUUCGAAAACUGUUUUAUAAAAAAAAGAAGAAGAAGAAGAAGAAGCGAGGGUUGCGGUGGGAGUUGCGGCGACGGCGGGGCUGCACCUGCACGGCUGCGGCGGCGGCGAUUGCUGACUGGGGACACGGGCGGCGGCGGCGAACGGCGAGGCGAUUGCUGACUGGGGACACGGGCGAGGGUUGCGGUUGGGAGUUGCGGCGACGGCGGGGCUGGACUCUGGUGUGGGCGAGGGGCGGGGCGGCCGGGCUGGCGAGGAGCGAGGGGCGACGACUCUGGAGUGAGAGCCGAGAGGUUAGGAACUUAGG
rnacentral:lncRNA from 1 species